rnacentral:rRNA from 1 species
AUGAAGCCGGAAUCGCUAGUAAUCGCGGAUCAGAACGCCGCGGUGAAUACGUUCCCGGGUCUUGUACACACCGCCCGUCACACCACGAGAGUUUGUAACACCCGAAGCCGGUGAGGUAACCUUUUAGGAGCCAGCCGUCUAAGGUGGGAUAGAUAAUUGGGGUGAAGUCGUAACAAGGUAGCCGUAUCGGAAGGUGCGGCUGGAUCACCUCCUUU